UUGAAUACGAAAGAUAACAUCAGACACUUGACAGGAAAUGACCCAGUUACACUCACUGAUUAAGAUUAAAUGGAAUCACCAUGGUUCAUUUCCGCCGGCACAUGCAUUAGGACACAUGCCGCAGGGGUCAGAGUUCACCUCAGUGUGGGAAACAAAGGUCCAGUGUUUCCUGACUUUUCCACAACCCACUGAACUCCACAAAGCAGUCAAUGUGGUGCUGAAGACAGAGAGGCUGUUGCAGACAAAAGCUAUGCUUAACUUUUUUUUUUUUUGAAAAACUAAUAUUGGUAAAAUUCACUGUUUCAUGAUGUUGUUUUAUCCAAGUUUCAUUAUUUAAAAUAAAACAAUUAAUUUUAAUUAAAUGGAUGAUGGUAUGGAACAUGACAUUCAUUAGAUUUUAAUUGAUAAUUAAAACACUGGAAUAAUAUAUAAACAAAAGAUACAUGAUAACUCCAUAAAUAAAUUCUACUAAAAUUGGUGAUUAUUACAGUAAGACUGGCUGAAAUUUUUUUUCUUGCUAUAAAAAUCAUUUACUCUUUUCAUCAUUUGUUUGUUUCAUUUUGCUGUUGUGCAAGUAUUUUAAUCUAUUGUUGUUCUGUCUUGUUUUAAUGAGGUAACUGAGUACAUAAAUGAAUAACAUAUCAAUAUUCUUUUUUUCCCCUUAUUCUAAUGGUGACUGCAGUAAAUCCACAUGUUUGACUCAAUCUAUAUUGAUUUUUGUUGCCAUUAACAUCAAU